AACGAACGCUGGCGGCAUGCCUAACACAUGCAAGUCGAACGAGACCUUCGGGUCUAGUGGCGCACGGGUGCGUAACGCGUGGGAACCUGCCCUUAGGUUCGGAAUAACUCCCCGAAAGGGGUGCUAAUACCGGAUAAUGUCUUCGGACCAAAGAUUUAUCGCCUUUGGAUGGGCCCGCGUUGGAUUAGCUAGUUGGUAGGGUAAAAGCCUACCAAGGCGACGAUCCAUAGCUGGUCUGAGAGGAUGAUCAGCCACACUGGGACUGAGACACGGCCCAGACUCCUACGGGAGGCAGCAGUGGGGAAUAUUGGACAAUGGGGGAAAGUCUGAUACAGCAAUGCCGCGUGAGUGAUGAAGGCCUUAGGGUUGUAAAGCUCUUUUACCCGGGAUGAUAAUGACAGUACCGGGAGAAUAAGCUCCGGCUAACUACGUG
rnacentral:rRNA from 1 species